CAGCCGCCGCGGUAAUACGAGGGGGGCAAGCGUUGUUCGGAAUUAUUGGGCGUAAAGGGCGCGUAGGCGGUUUGGCAAGUUUGGUGUGAAAUCUUCGGGCUCAACUCGAAGUCUGCACCGAAAACUGCCGGGCUUGAGUAUGGGAGAGGUGAGUGGAAUUUCCGGUGUAGCGGUGAAAUGCGUAGAUAUCGGAAGGAACACCUGUGGCGAAAGCGGCUCACUGGACCAUUACUGACGCUGAGGCGCGAAAGCUAGGGGAGCAAACAGGAUUAGAUACCCGAGUAGUCCCUGUCUCUUAUAC
rnacentral:rRNA from 1 species